UACGUAGGUGGCAAGCGUUGUCCGGAUUUACUGGGUGUAAAGGGCGUGCAGCCGGGCUGACAAGUCAGAUGUGAAAUCCCGCGGCUCAACCGCGGAACUGCAUUUGAAACUGUCAGUCUUGAGUACCGGAGAGGUCAUCGGAAUUCCUUGUGUAGCGGUGAAAUGCAUAGAUAUCACGCAGAACUCCGAUUGCGAAGGCAGCAUACCGGCGCGCAACUGACGCUCAUGCACGAAAGCGUGGGUAUCGAACAGG
rnacentral:rRNA from 1 species